GUAGGGAAUCUUCGGCAAUGGACGAAAGUCUGACCGAGCAACGCCUCGUGAGUGAAGAAGGUUUUCGGAUCGUAAAACUCUGUUGGUAGAGAAGAACGUUGGUGAGAGUGGAAAGCUCAUCAAGUGACGGUAACUACCCAGAAAGGGACGGCUAACUACGUGCCAGCAGCCGCGGUAAUACGUAGGUCCCGAGCGUUGUCCGGAUUUAUUGGGCGUAAAGCGAGCGCAGGUGGUUUAUUAAGUCUGGUGUAAAAGGCAGUGGCUCAACCAUUGUAUGCAUUGGAAACUGGUAGACUUGAGUGCAGGAGAGGAGAGCGGAAUUCCAUGUGUAGCGGUGAAAUGCGUAGAUAUAUGGAGGAACACCGGUGGCGAAAGCGGCUCUCUGGCCUGUAACUGACACUGAGGCUCGAAAGCGUGGGGAGCAAACAGGAUUAGAUACCCUUGUAGUCC
rnacentral:rRNA from 1 species